rnacentral:lncRNA from 1 species
AGAUUUGAUAACGAAUUAUCGAAUACCCAACUUGGGAAUUCUGUACCACUGUAGUUCCUAAUAGACAAAUCCUCCAAGUGAUUGGAAGGUUGUAGAUUCUGAAAUACUUCCUUUUCUUUCUUUGGAUCAUCAGGGAUGUGGUCCGACUUCCAAUCUAAUUCUAGCUCCACAAGGCGUUUAUCUUUCAAAUUUGCUUUUAAUGCAUCCAAAGGAUUCCCAAUAUUCUGCACGUCAUUGAUUGAUAGCCUUCCAUGAAGAUUGAGUCCUCCCAACCCGCCCAGUUGUUUAGUCCUAACCUCACUAUUUCUAUCGACGAUAAACUUAUCCAAUUCUUGAAGAUUCUUCAAUUCUCCAAAAUGCAUUGGCAUCUUUCUCACUUUUGUAUCUUCAAAUUCCAGGCAACGCAAUCUGGUAAGUUUAUGCAAAUUUAAGGGAAACUCCUCCAACUUUGAACAAAAUUUCAACUUCAGUAUUAGUAAGUUAUAGAGCAAACAUAUCGAGUCAGGUAGCUUUUGUAUCCCUGUAGACGAAAGAUCUAACGAAUGGAGAUGUGAAAGAUCACCUAUAGAAUCCGGGACCUCUCUAAGGAAUGAACAACGACUAAAAGAUAACAUGCGUAUAAACUUAAUCUUGGAAAACAAAUCAUGUAUCGAAAUCUUGAAAUUCCAUUGAGAACUCCAACCUUGUGAGAUAGGAAGAAAUGAACGAAGUCUUUUAGCAUCUGUUAAACUCCCAAAACCAUCAAAACUUUUGACAUCAUCGAAAUCAAAUGAAAAAUGACGAGUUGUUUUCUGUAUACAUUGGCCUUUAUCAAAUUUUAACCUGAAACAGAAAUCCGCACAAACAUAUUUUGCCAAAUCAUUCAUAAGGUCAUGCAUGAGGAAACGUCUCCCGAAACCUGAAUGUUGAAAGAAAGACCUUGACAAAAGAUCAUUGAAGUACUCUUCACCAACUUCUUCUGGAUGUCUAAUAUGUUGUGGACUUUGUAGAAAAUUUUGCGCCAUCCACAACAAAAUUAACUCCUCCUUCACAAACUCAUAAUCUUUGGGGAAUAAGGCACAAUAAGCAAAGCACCUUUUAAGAUGAGAAGGAAGAUAGCGAUAGCUCAAAAAUAACGCAGGAAUAAUUUCACUGUGUUCUUUUGGUAACUCCCAUAUCUCACUUUCCAAUAUGUUCUUCCAAUCUGAAACGGAUGACUUUGUGCGUAAAAGACAUCCAAUUGUUUUCAAAGCUAAAGGUAAUCCCUUGCACCUCUCAACUAUCCUUCCACCAAUCCCCUUUAGCUCAUCAUUCAAUUCAAGAUCACCAUCUUUUAAUGCAUGAAUUUCAAAAACUUUCCAGCAUUCAUCCUCUCGUAAUUGCUUUAGAAGAUGCACUUCAGACCUCAUGCUAGAAGCGACCUUCUCACCACGAGUUGUGACAAGAAUUCUACUUCCUGGAGCCCCAUAGCUAAGAGGAGUUCGCACAGCUGCCCAUUCUGCUGGUCUUUCAUUCCAAACAUCAUCUAAAACAAGAAGAAAUUUCUUUCCUGACAAUUUUUCUUUCAGUUUUUUGUGAACCAUUUCUAGGUUCCCACUGUCAUCUUUUUCAUUUGUGAUUGCCUCAAGAAUUGUUCUUGUCACCGUCAAAACAUGAAAAUGAUCAGAAACACAAACCCAUGCUUUGACAUCAAAUUUUUCAUCUUCGAUCUUUGGGUCACUAUACACAUGUUGGGCCAAUGUGGUCUUACCUAACCCACCCAUGCCCACAAUGGAAAGUAUUGAUGGGUGGUUAGGAUUGUCGGUUUCUGAUGUGAGCCAAUUAAUGAUUAUAUCUUUGUCAGCAUCUCUGCCAUAAAUAACACUUUCAACCACCAAAGAAGAUGAUGGCACUUUACUACCUGAUCCAUCACCAAAGUAAGUACCCUCUUUCAAACCAAGAUCACCCUUUUGGUUUGCAAGAUAUUCUAGUUUCUCCAGGACUUCUUUCAUCUCUGAUUCAAUUUUCUUGUUAAAUGAAGUGAAAGUAGAGUUGAAGAAAUUUGAUACCUUGUAAGUAAAGGUUUGAGGUUGGGAUUGAGCUUGGACUUGGCAUCUGGUGAGUUCAUAGUCUAUUUCACCCAACAGAUCCUCUGCAUCAAAGACAGCCUCUUUGACAGCAAGAAGCCAUGCUUUGACGUGUGGAUCUGUAAACUGCUUUAGUUCAGCAUCAUCAGCGAGAGCAUUGAUGGAGUGCAGCUUGAUGUUCAAAUUGGCGAGGAGCUUCUCAUCAAGUUUUCUUCCACGAAAGAAGUCGAGAAAUUGAGGAGAAGCGAGCCUGUCGAAUGCAACCUGAAGANNNNNNNNNNNNNNNNNNNNNNNNNNNNNNNNNNNNNNNNNNNNNNNNNNNNNNNNNNNNNNNNNNNNNNNNNNNNNNNNNNNNNNNNNNNNNNNNNNNNGAAUGGUAAUGAAUAAGUUGAAAUGGAUACAAUAUGUAUUGAUAGGAUGAGUAGUAAAGUAUUUUAGAAAGGAUGACUUGACUUUAAAGAUGGUGGAACAUACUUUUCUUUGAGUCUUUCUUAAAACCUUAAUUCCACAAUUAUUCGUUGCAUUUACAGAUUCAGCCAAUCAUAAAGAGUUAUUGAUGGUUGGGUUUAAACAUUGGAUAUAUAUUUUAUGUUUCAUUAGUUUUAUAUUCAAUGGUUUUGGUGAGUUGAAUAAGGUCGAUAGAACCAAAGUCAAGAAAUAAUUGUUUAUUUUGUGAUAUGAUAUUUAAUGAAUAAAAGUCUGACAAUAAUGGUGUGUUCUAGGUAGUUAUUUUAUUAUUCUAUCUGUACCUUCAAUUAGUGGAAAGAAGAUACCCUUAAAUAGCGAUCACUUAAAUAAUUAUUUAACAUUUUUUUUAUUUAUUUCAAGUUAAAAAGAAAAACAUUCUUCUCAUUUGGAAAUUCUUGCGUGAUAUGUCUCGGCUUCUUUGUGAAAUACUGAGGCAAUAAAUAUUAAGAGCAAUUUGGUUAUCACAAGCAAGGGUCUUCUUUCAUUAAUAUCUACUGUGUUGAAUUUCAAACAAUCACCUCUGAACUGAUAUUCUCUGUUUUCUUAAUUGCCAGAUUUUUUAAAUAUUUAUAAUUUCACUUUUAUAUUGUUUUCAAAAUUUUAAAAAAAAAUGUUUAAUUACUUUUGUAGCUUGUAUCUUUACUUUUCAUCUAAUCUUUAAUUAAUUUAUAUAAAUGUAUUUAUCAUAUUGACUUAUAUAUUUUAGUUCCAGAAGCGAGGUCAUUUGUCUAUUAAUUAGGUAGCAAUACAAUUUUUUAAACAAUGUAAACAGACUUUUAACAGAAAUCAAUGUUUAGUUGUAGAUCAAUCAUAACAAAAGAGUCAUUCCUUCUAAGAGUUAUUGGAAAUUUGAGGAUCCAUGGUGGAAGAGAAUAACGCCACAAAGUAUCAUCUGACAGUUCAACAAUGAGUUGAAAUUGUGAAUUGCAUGAGUUGAUUUCUCUAAUCUAAGAGUCCAAGAGAUACAAGAUUUCUAGAAAGGUGUUGGCUCCCAAGAAUACCUUUUUAUCUCCUUCUAUACAGGACCAAACAUAACUUCACACUUUUGUUAGUUGCUGUUCAGAGUCUUUACACUUGUAUGCACAAUUUUUCUGUUACAGGAGAAUCUUCAGAUUGUGAACUAAGGAGAGUAAUAAAACAGCAAAACAUACUUAAUUAUCACUUUAGAUUUAAAAUAAAACAGGAGAGACAUGAUUUUUUUUUCCAAAGAAUCAGAAUUGAUUGAGAAUGGAUACUUAAUGAGAUGCAAUCUAUUCAAUUUUGUUGAAGAUUGAAGAGUGAUUUCUUAAAUACCUGUCACGCAGAUUUUCAAAAAAUCAUGAGAGAAAAGGCAGCCUAUCAAGUGCAAUGAAAUUUUGAACAGUUAAAUGUGUAAAUGUGUGAAUGCUGACAACCAUUCAGUCUCAAACCACACGCAGCAUUCAUUCUCAUUUUAUAUAUGACUUGAAAUAUUUAAUCUUUAAUUUAAUCUAGCUUUUGUUUCUGCCUGACAUAGUAUUUGGUACAUCUUGCAUAAUAUUUAGUCUAUUUGUCUUUCUAUAUUCAUCACUUUUUUUCAAUUUUCUUACCUUAAUUGUUAGUUUUCAAAACUGAAAGUAGCAUAAUUAAUUGAAACAGUGGUGUGCAUUGCAGAAAAGUACGCUCUAUUUUGUUCUUUGAAAAGCAAAUUUAGAAGCAAUAGACCCAUGAAGAGUUUGGUGGACAACAUUAAGUUUAACUAGAAAACCUUUUACAGUUAAAUUUUAUAAAUAAAUGGAAAUAUGAGGAGGAAAAUGUAAUGUCAGAAGUAAAAGGUAUUUGCAAUGCUCACUGCUUCAAUGCCAUUCCCAACCGAAGAUUAGGAUCCUCUGCCAACCGAAGAUUGGAAUACUGUGAAAAAAAGAUAAUGUGAUUAUCAAUCAAAUCAUUAAUUUGAAAUUAACAAACCAACAAAAGAAAUCAUUAGACGAGUCAUGGAUACAUAAUACAUUAGCAUAAGAGAUUUUGUACAACUAAAUUUUUAGAUCAAGGUGUGGGAGAUCAAACAAAUCUCCGAUCAAUGUUUGAGCAAUGAAAAUUCUCAAAUUGUAAGAGAAGAGAUGGAUUUGGGCAGACCCUCCUCUGGUAAGCAUUGGAGGCUGGAUUUUCAAGAUUUGUGUUCAAAGUAAGUGUGGCAGCAGAACUUCAUCGGGAAAAGACUCCAUGUCAACCUUUUCAAUACACAAGCUUGGAAAACAUGUGUUUACAUCCAAGGUCUCUCUCAGAGAGGCCAUAAGUUUGAAACUUGAAAGAGACACAUGUUGAAAAUUCCACAUCGAAUGUCCUUUAUGUGCACUGCAGUUUCCAUUCAUCUUUUCAAUAAUACAUUCAGGAAUCAGUAGUGGUGUUAACAACUAAAUUUUUGGGGUCAUUUUUUCUCCAGUUUCAGUGAUCUAUUAUUAAGUUUAAGUUCAUUUUUCUUUCUCAGAAACUGCCAUAGCAUGAAGUAGAUGAAAGAAGGGAAAAUGUGACUAUGAAAACAAAUAUACUCAUAUUCAUAUAGCAAGAUAAAUGAAGAUGAGGCCACCACAACUUCCAAAUACAGACAACCUUCACUGUCUAAAAAUAGGAAACAUAUUUGGUUGAAAUUUAUUUUGAACACGACAAUUGAAAUAAUUUUGAAGAUAUUGUGGAGAAUUGGAACCUGUUGAAGUGGCAGACAUAUUGAAAUAGGUGCACGCCUAAUUUUGAACUUCUGACUCAUCUUAUCACCAAACAUCCAGUUCUUGGAUGUGAGCAAUCUUUGUCCAGUCUUCCCCAUCUGGAUUCUGACAACGCUCCUUCAGCAAUGGACAAUCCCAUAUUGCAAGAGAAGAGAUGGAUUUAGGGAGACCCUCCGCUGGUAAGCUUUGAAGGCUGGGACAAUUAAGAAGUGUGAGAGAUGAGAGGUGGCAGAGACCCUUGUAGUGCAUCUUUUUAAGAUUUGGGCAAUCAUAGAUUUCUAGAGAGGUGAUAGAGGGUGGUAGCAAAACUUCAUCGGGAAAAAACUCCACGUCCAAAUUUCCAAUACACAAGCUUUCAAGACAUUUCAAGCUCACUCUCAAGGAGGCGAUAAGUUUUAAACAUGAAAGAGACAUUUCUUUUAUAUUUAACGGAAAACCUCCAUCUGGGAACAACUCAACUUCUGGACACUUAGUUAUAUACAGAGCAGUAAGGGACGAAAACCGGAUUUGCAUGGGUUUGGGAAACAGGAAUGAUUUAAAUUGAGGGCAAUCAUAAAUAUAUAGAUUCAUGAGAUGAUUAUGAGCGUACUCCUGUGAAAUUCUUCUUAGGUUUUGGCAGUCUAUCAGUUUAAGAGUACAGAGCUUUGGAAAGAAAUGUAGUCGAAAGAUUGUAACAGAGUCGCUGCCUCCAUCAGUAUGCGAUGUGUCCAUACUGUUUCCGCUAAUUCUGACCUCAUCACUAACAACUACUUUCUUUAAAUCAGUACCUUUCAGUUUCGGAAAUUUAAACACAAGAAGCUGUCGAAGACGUGGAAAAGAAGUAGUUUUACACUCCCAUUCUUCCCAUUCCUUCAUAUUGUGGAAUUCCAAGCAAUCCAAGGAUGCAAACGCAGAGUUGCUCCCAUAAAUUCAGCACCAACGCUCACUAUUCCAUCAAACCCUUCAAUCUCAAGGGUCUUCAGUGAUGACAAAAGUCCAAGGGGAGGCAAACAUAGGCAAUAUUUACAGUCCUCCAACUUUAAGAACACCAGAUUUGAUAACGAAUUAUCGAAUACCCAACUUGGGAAUUCUGUACCACUGUAGUUCCUCAUUGACAAAUUCUCCAACAGAUUGGAAGGUUGUAGAUUCUGAAGUACUUCCUUUUCUUUCCUUGGAUCAUCAGGGAUGUGGUCCGACUUCCAAUCUAAUUCUAGCUCCACAAGGUGUUUAUCUUUCACAUUUGCUUCUAAUGCAUCCAAAGGAUUCAAAAUAUUCUGCAC